UGCCCUACGGGGGGCAGCAGUGAGGAAUAUUGGUCAAUGGCCGCAGGGCUGAACCAGCCAAGCCGCGUGAGGGAGGAAGGUACAGAGUAUCGUAAACCUCUUUUGUCAGGGAACAAAGGCGGGGACGUGUCCCCGGAUGAGUGUACCUGAAGAAAAAGCAUCGGCUAACUCCGUGCCAGCAGCCGCGGUAAUACGGAGGAUGCGAGCGUUAUCCGGAUUUAUUGGGUUUAAAGGUUGCGCAGGCGGUCUGUUAAGUCAGCGGUCAAAGCCCGGGGCUCAACCCCGGCCCGCCGUUGA
rnacentral:rRNA from 1 species